AGCAAGUUCGUUCCGUAAGUGGAGUGGUUGGUGUAUUGCAUAGUUUUAGUGAUUGAAUUUCACUCAAAACCCACCAAAUGACUCCUCCCAUCGUAUUUUGAUGUUGCCCCAGUUUUGGGUUCGAUCCGAAGUAAAUAGGUGAAAAAAAUUGAACAACUUAAGUUCAUAGGAAGUUCGUUCUGUAAAUGGAGUGGUUGGUGUAUUGCAUAGGUUUUAG
rnacentral:lncRNA from 1 species